rnacentral:rRNA from 1 species
UUGAACGCUGGCGGCAGGCCUCACACAUGCAAGUCGCACGGUAACAGGAAGCAGCUUGCUGCUUUGCUGACGAGUGGCGGACGGGUGAGUAAUGUCUGGGAAACUGCCUGAUGGAGGGGGAUAACUACUGGAAACGGUAGCUAAUACCGCAUAACGUCGCAAGACCAAAGAGGGGGACCUUAGGGCCUCUUGCCAUCGGAUGUGCCCAGAUGGGAUUAGCUAGUAGGUGGGGUAACGGCUCACCUAGGCGACGAUCCCUAGCUGGUCUGAGAGGAUGACCAGCCACACUGGAACUGAGACACGGUCCAGACUCCUACGGGAGGCAGCAGUGGGGAAUAUUGCACAAUGGGCGCAAGCCUGAUGCAGCCAUGCCGCGUGUAUGAAGAAGGCCUUCGGGUUGUAAAGUACUUUCAGCGGGGAGGAAGGGAGUAAAGUUAAUACCUUUGCUCAUUGACGUUACCCGCAGAAGAAGCACCGGCUAACUCCGUG